rnacentral:tRNA from 1 species
GAAAUGUUAGUUAAUUUAUAACUUUAUCUUGUCAAGACAAAAUAAUAGGUUAAACCCCUAUACAUCUCU